GUGGUUUUAGUUUAACUGGUAAAACGUCUCAUUGUGGAUGAGAAGAAUAGGGUUCGAGCCCCGAAAUCACC
rnacentral:tRNA from 1 species